UUUCCGUAGGUGAACCUGCGGAAGGAUCAUUACUGAGUGAGGGCCCUCUGGGUCCAACCUCCCACCCGUGUUUAUUGUACCUUGUUGCUUCGGUGCGCCCGCCUCACGGCCGCCGGGGGGCUUCUGCCCCCGGGUCCGCGCGCACCGGAGACACCAUUGAACUCUGUCUGAAGAUUGCAGUCUGAGCAUAAACUAAAUAAGUUAAAACUUUCAACAACGGACCUCUUGGUUCCGGCAUCGAUGAAGGAUGCAGC
rnacentral:misc_RNA from 1 species